UUGUGUUUUAGAUGGCAGUACUGCAGAUCACCGGAGGCAUGCUGAGACAUGAAUUAGCAUUUCUAUCACUAGGGAAAGUUACAACAUUUUCCGUUGAAAAUGGAAUAGAAGAUGGCAGUAUAUCAGAUCAAUCAAGGCACGCUGAGACACGAAUUCACAUUUCUACCACCAAGGAAAGAAUCAACAUGCUAUGUUGAAAAUGGACUAGAAGAUACUGAUAAUAAUAUUGGAUUUAUGCAAUGUGCGUGCAAUGGUUAUUGAAUAUAAUUGAUUCUAAAUUAAUAGCUGUGAAACAAUUGAGAUUUGUUAAAUAUCUGAAUAAAAUAAUAGUAAACACCUUUA